rnacentral:rRNA from 1 species
CACGUAGGGUGCGAGCGUUGUCCGGAAUUAUUGGGCGUAAAGAGCUCGUAGGCGGUGUGUCGCGUCGGCCGUGAAAACCUGCAGCUUAACUGUGGGCUUGCGGUCGAUACGGGCAUCACUGGAGUUCGGCAGGGGAGACUGGAAUUCCUGGUGUAGCGGUGAAAUGCGCAGAUAUCAGGAGGAACACCGGUGGCGAAGGCGGGUCUCUGGGCCGAUACUGACGCUGGAGGGAAGCGAAAGCGUGGGGAGCGAACAGG